GUGGAGCAUGUGGUUUAAUUCGAAGCAACGCGCAGAACCUUACCAGCGUUUGACAUGGUAGGACGGUUUCCAGAGAUGGAUUCCUUCCCUUACGGGACCUACACACAGGUGCUGCAUGGCUGUCGUCAGCUCGUGUCGUGAGAUGUUGGGUUAAGUCCCGCAACGAGCGCAACCCUCGUCUUUAGUUGCUACCAUUUAGUUGGGCACUCUAAAGAAACUGCCGGUGAUAAGCCGGAGGAAGGUGGGGAUGACGUCAAGUCCUCAUGGCCCUUACGCGCUGGGCUACACACGUGCUACAAUGGCGGUGACAGAGGGCUGCAAACCCGCGAGGGUGAGCUAAUCUCCAAAAGCCGUCUCAGUUCGGAUUGUUCUCUGCAACUCGAGAGCAUGAAGGCGGAAUCGCUAGUAAUCGCGGAUCAGCACGCCGCGGUGAAUACGUUCCCAGGCCUUGUACACACCGCCCGUCACACCAUGGGAGUUGGUUUCACCCGAAGGCGCUACGCUAACCCGCAAGGGAGGCAGGCGACCACGGUGGGAUCA
rnacentral:rRNA from 1 species